AUCUUUUCAUUCUUUACCACAGAGACACCUUGCUACCCCUGCGAUCCUUCGUGGCCAAGACCAAUUUACUAUCCAGAUUUUAAGGACUGCGCCUAUAUCUGGGAAUGUUCCAACGGAGCUCUUACUAGAACUAGCUGUGACGCAGGUCUAGUCUUUGACUUUCUUAUGCAGGCUUGUGUUCCAGACGCCCCAGAAAUGCUGUUCACGUGCGCCAAGUUAAUGGGGCAAACCAGUUGUGUGAACGUCACAGCGUCUGCUGCUGCUAGCGGUCUCUAGCUCUCAAUCUCAACCAAAAUGUGACUUCAUGAAGAGUCCUCUUCUUUUUAGAACAUAUUGAUUGGAUUUCCCUUUUAGUUAGAUAAACAUUAAAAUAACAAUUUAGUUUCUAUCACAUACAACAUAACGAUUCUUCAUUUAUAUCACUGAAUUACUGCUGUAAAAAUUGGAAACUAAUAAAUUUGUAUUCACUUUUGUGACUUAAAUAGUUUAAAUAAAUCUUGCGUUCAAUUUU
rnacentral:sRNA from 1 species